UACGUAGGGGGCGAGCGUUGUCCGGAAUUAUUGGGCGUAAAGAGCGUGUAGGCGGUUCGGUAAGUCUGCCGUGAAAACCUGGGGCUCAACCCCGGGCGUGCGGUGGAUACUGCCGGGCUAGAGGGUGGUAGAGGCGAGUGGAAUUCCCGGUGUAGCGGUGAAAUGCGCAGAUAUCGGGAAGAACACCUAUGGCGAAGGCAGCUCUCUGGGACGGUACUGACGCUGAGACGCGAAAGCGUGGGGAGCGAACAGG
rnacentral:rRNA from 1 species